UCCGCUGUAGCACAUCGG
rnacentral:siRNA from 1 species